ACUAGCAGGCCAUGAGAGGGAAGGAGGGAGGGAAGGUAAGGGACCACGGCCAGCCAGGCGCUGAGGCAGGCAGGUUCCCAUUGGAAAUUCACGGGACCGGUGGUGGCUCCCUCUUCUAAAUCCACGCAGUCACAUCAGCCUCUGGUGACAUGGCAGCUGGACCCGGAGUACUGCUGGGUAUGGAGUCCGUUUCAAUCCUUGUCUUUGCAUCUCUUGCGUCAGAAAGAAAGAGCUGUUUCCUGCUUUCAGGCAUGAAAUGGGUGGCAACGCAGCUGGCGGUGUUAAUAAUCCUUCACGUUGUCUUCCACUGGUGCCACGCAGGAAUUACAAGCAUAAACUGUUCUGGCCGCCUGUGGGUAGAACCGGCUGCGGUUUUUCAGAUGGGCACAAACAUCUCCGUGUACUGCCGAGCCUCGGGCAAGAACUGCCAGCCCAGGAUGCUUUAUCUGCACACAAACGGCGUGGCAGAGAGGUUUCUCCUGUCCAGGGUGAACAGGACGACAGCUCGACACAGGUUCCAGAACUUUCUGGCACCUCGGGCCUCCAUGUACUGCACUGCAAAGUGUCCAGGACGCCCAGGGGAAACGUUGGUGUGUGGCCAGGACAUCACCUCUGGAUAUCCCCCGGACGCCCCCCAGGCGCUGACCUGCGUCCUCCACGAGCGCUCGGGCCCCAUGUCAUGCAGCUGGAUGGCUGGCAGGCACACCCACAUGGCCACAGAGUACGUGGUGCACGUGCAGAGGUGGGUGACCUGUCCUUCCCAGGCCUCAGGCUCCCCUGGAGGGCCCUGCCCUCUCCGUGCCCUUGGUUGACCGCAGUUCACCGGGAGCCCUUGGGCCCAGCUCAGCCCCUUCUCCGGCCCCAAAACUGCCCAGUCCCGGCAGGGUUUGUCUGCGUUCAUUAAAGGUUUAGACUUUUAAGGUGCACUCCACAGUGCGGGCUACCUCCCCCCUCCCUUCCUCAGUC
rnacentral:lncRNA from 1 species